UCUGAUGCAGCCNUACCGCGUGUAUGAAGAAGGCCUUAGGGUUGUAAAGUACUUUCAGCGAGGAGGAAAGGUUGGUAAUUAAUACUUGCCAACUGUGACGUUACUCGCAGAAGAAGCACCGGCUAACUCCGUGCCAGCAGCCGCGGUAAU
rnacentral:rRNA from 1 species